GCUUACGGCCACACCGGCCUGAGUACGCCUGAUCUCGUCCGAUCUCGGAAGCUAAGCAGGGUCGGGCCUGGUUAGUUCUUGGAUGGGAGACCGCCUGGGAAUACCAGGUGCUGUAAGCU
ensembl:rRNA 5S_rRNA 5S ribosomal RNA